rnacentral:rRNA from 1 species
AGAGUUUGAUCCUGGCUCAGAUUGAACGCUGGUGGUAUGCUUAACACAUGCAAGUCGAACGGUAACAUUGGAGCUUGCUCCAGAUGACGAGCGGCGGACGGGUGAGUAACGCGUAGGAAUCUGCCUAGUAGUGGGGGACAACAUGUGGAAACGCAUGCUAAUACCGCAUACGCCCUACGGGGGAAAGCGGGGGAUCUUCGGACCUCGCGCUAUUAGAUGAGCCUGCGCUAGAUUAGCUAGUUGGUGGGGUAAUGGCUCACCAAGGCGACGAUCUAUAGCUGGUCUGAGAGGACGAUCAGCCACACUGGGACUGAGACACGGCCCAGACUCCUACGGGAGGCAGCAGUGGGGAAUAUUGGACAAUGGGCGCAAGCCUGAUCCAGCAAUACCACGUGUGUGAAGAAGGCCUGAGGGUUGUAAAGCACUUUCAAUUGGGAGGAAAACAGCUGGGUUAAUAGCCCUGCUCUUGACAUUACCUUUAGAAGAAGCACCGGCUAACUCCGUGCCAGCAGCCGCGGUAAUACGGAGGGUGCGAGCGUUAAUCGGAAUUACUGGGCGUAAAGCGUACGUAGGCGGUUAUUUAAGUCAGAUGUGAAAGCCCCGGGCUCAACCUGGGAACUGCAUUUGAUACUGGAUGACUAGAGUUUGAUAGAGGAGAGUAGAAUUUCUGGUGUAGCGGUGAAAUACGUAGAGAUCA